UGGGGAAUUUUGGACAAUGGGGGAAACCCUGAUCCAGCCAUCCCGCGUGUGCGAUGAAGGCCUUCGGGUUGUAAAGCACUUUUGGCAGGAAAGAAACGUCAUGGGUUAAUACCCCGUGAAACUGACGGUACCUGCAGAAUAAGCACCGGCUAACUACGUGCCAGCAGCCGCGGUAAUACGUAGGGUGCAAGCGUUAAUCGGAAUUACUGGGCGUAAAGCGUGCGCAGGCGGUUCGGAAAGAAAGAUGUGAAAUCCCAGAGCUCAACUUUGGAACUGCAUUUUUAACUACCGGGCUAGAGUGUGUCAGAGGGAGGAGGAAUUCCGCGUGUAGCAGUGAAAUGCGUAGAUAUGCGGAGGAACACCGGUGGCGAAGGCAGCCUCCUGGGAUAACACUGACGCUCAUGCACGAAAGCGUGGGGAGCAAACAGG
rnacentral:rRNA from 1 species